rnacentral:tRNA from 1 species
GGAGAGGUGGCUGAGUGGCCGAAAGCAACGGUUUGCUAAACCGUCAUAGGGGUGACUCUAUCGGGGGUUCGAAUCCCCCCCUCUCCGCCA